GAUAAUUUAAUUAUGAAUAUAAUAUAUAUAAAAAAAAAAAAUACAAUCGAGUCACAAACAUAACCUAAGAAUUUACAAAAUGACAUACUUGCAUUGUAUACAUUUGUCUCUUGCUUCAGGAGGAUCUGCAGAUAUCUUUGAUAACUCUUCCCAUACAAUAUCUUCGUUUGUCAUGACAAAAAUUUGUAGAUUUUUACAAAUAAAUUAAUAUUUAACAGCUGCGUACGCAUAAUAGCACGUAUUGCACGAGUACCAACUAAUGUGGCUAUUGGAAGUUACUAUUACUAUAGAUAGAUAUAUUUCGAGAUUACUUCGAUAUAUUUAUCGUUUUGAAAAGAUCAUUUUUAAAAGUAUCUUGUAUUUAUUAAAAAAUUUAUUAAUUAUUCAAAUCACAUAAUUUCCUUUUUUAGAUACGUACGUACCAGUAGACACGUAUAUAUUAUCGAUAAGAACAAAAAAAGAAAAAAAAGAAGUGAUCGAUUUCACAUAGGUUUUUCUUUUCUUUUCUUUUCUUCGUAAAUAAAUGGAAAAAAUUUGAUUUCGAGUUAAUAAUUCAAUGAAUUAUCGAUUAACGAUAAAUGAAAUUAAUAAUGAAUGAAUCGAUAUAAUAUUUGAAGGAAAUGUGGAUUUUUAUUUUCGAGAACGUUCUAAACCGCGAUAGUGGCAAAGGUUCGAGAUGAUGAAGAGAAUACGAAGGAGGUAGAAAAUAAAAAGGUGAAAAAGAAAAUCGGAUAGUGAGGCGAGAGGAGGUAUCGGAAGGAGAGCUACAGUGCCUACAUAGCAAAAAAGGAAUGACGCCGGUAUUUUUAAUGGGAAGCCGAAGGCGAGUUGAAUAGAACGAGCUUUUGGGUCCCUCGCGAGGACGUCGUACGCCUCUACAAGGGUUCAAAGCGAGAGCCAAGUUUUAACAAGCCUCAGGCUUCGUGCCCCUGGCCCCUGGAUGUCUCCUUUAAAUAAUCCACCGGACGAUCCAUUCGUACGAAGGAUCGUUCAAGCACCAUUGAAAAAUUUUUUCGAUGUCCGUCUCAAUUAUCAAGAUAAAAUUUCUUUGGUAAAAGUUAUGCGGACGAUUCUCCAAAAAAUUUUAUCACCGUCCUUUAAGAAAAAUUCCAGGUAAUUUAUAAUUCAUUGAGAAUAAUCUUUGAAAUGACAGCUUCAUCAUUAUCCUUCCGAGGUCAAAUUUUCUUGUCCUUCUGUGAAUGCACUGACGAAGAAUCUACUUCGCUUUAUAUUCGUUCAUCCGUACAUUCAAUGAAGAAAAAAUUACAGACAAAGUCCUUGCAUAGAUAUCUCGUUCUUUCUCGUAACGUCCUCCAUUCGUGUCUCUCGCCUCUUUACAAAGAAAGAGAGGAGGUCGUUCUUUUUACUUGGGGGAAUCGUGAAAGUCAAGAGAAGAUUCGAGUGUGUAGGAUAUAGUGAGGAACGAGGGAACACGAUUUAUUAGAGAAAGACAAGGAAAGGAGGAAUAAAACGAAAAGAGGGAAGAAAAAGAGGAUGGACCGCACAAAGAAAAAAACGCAGGCGGGAGGCCGAGGUGUACAUGGAGAAAAAAAGAGAGAGAAAGAUAAAGAGAGAGAGAGAGAGAGAGAGAGAGAGAGAGAGAGAGAGGUGCGGAAUAAUGCUUAACAAGCCGACUUGAAAGGACGGCCGCCAUGUUGAGUCAAUACUUGAAAGUCUUUGCUCAUUAAGAAUAUUUUACAUCUGGCUCCUCCGGCAGCACCGCCGAGUCUCUAAUUCCUCUUUCCCUUCCACUGUUCGUUCCGAAGCCGCGCUCGCUUCGCUCAUCUUCGAAGAGAGAAGAAGCUUUCUUUUGCUUUCUCUUUCUCUGUCCCCUUUGCCCUCACUCCCGUCUUUACGUUCGAGGUCCGUCCCCCUGGUGCCUGGUUGCAUACCGGGGGUGGUUGGACCCUCGAAGAUGGAAGUUAUUUACGCGCCACUCGGAACACCCUCCACCAUCGCGAACUUUCUCUCUCUCUCUCUCUCUCUCUCUCUCUCCCUCUCCCUCUUUUUCUCUUUUUCUCCUGGUUUCCCUUCGCAUAACCCCUCUCAUCGGUUGCCAUCCCCUCUGUUGCCGUCACUGCCGGCGGCCUUGGCUGGCCAUCAUGUCCGCCAUUGCCUUCCUUUUCUGACCCUUUAAGAACGACGGAAAGAAUUCCUUCGACUUCACCAACGGGCCAACCCUCCGUCCGCCCUUUGCAGUCUUUCUCUCUUUUCCUCUCUCAUUCUCUCCCUUUUUCUUCCUCCUUUCGUUCUCCUACCAUCGCGUAAUCACCGUUCCAUUUCGCGGCGUUUUUCCUAAUUCCUACCCAAUUCCGCUUUUAGCAUUUCAAUUUAUGCCCGCGGACCGAUCCGUCGGACGUGUCUACCCUCCGGUAACGACGGAUUAUUAUCGAAGACGUACCGCUUCGAAUGGAAAUUUACUUGGAAAUCGGGAAGAGGGAUGAAAUUGUUCUUUUACGCGUUCGAUAGAAAAAUCGGUAUCGGCGUUGUUAUUGUUCUUUUAACUUUCUUUCCAUGGAUAAUAAUUUAUUCGAUCUCGAGAUAUAAACAUAAUCGCAUUUACUUAUAUACAUAGGUAUAAGUACUCUACAGUUCUAUUGAAGAAUUUUUUAUCUCUCUCUCUCUUUCUCUCUCUCUUUUUUGUUAUAAUUUCGUUUGCUUGUCACGUUGCCGUUAGAUCGGCUCACAAAACGAUAAGACUGUCGUUACCCCUCGUUGCGUAUAGGGGUAUGGUUAUAAAAAUAAGUCACGUGUGCACAUCGGUACUGCGUUUCUCGCGUUUCUCAAUUGUAUCAACUUUAACCCUUUCAUUGUUUCGCUUUUUUUCUAUCGAUCCUUUCUUGGCAUUUCACCGGCUCCAUUCGUAAACCCUUUCUCGCGCGUUUCGUGUUAGGAACGGGCGAGGAGAUUCGAAGUUUGUCCGUGCGAACAAUCGCGUGCACGAACGGUAUGUUAGCGUACAUAAUAAGCUGUGCAGAAAGCGAGCAAACGAGAAUGAGAAAGAAAAAGAGUGAGAGAGAGAGAGAGAGAGAGAGAGAGAGAGAGAGAGAGACAGAAUGAAACAAAAACUGGUCUCGCGAGGUAAAACAAUAGGGGGUUCCUUCGGAAGGGCAGACAGAGAGAAAGAGAGAGAAGAGUACCGUACAACCCCGUAGAGUCGUAGAGCUAUGGCACGACGUGUGUGAAAUUCAAGAACCUGUAGCGCGAAGAAGAACAAAACGUUGCUGCCAGCUGCACGGUGCAUACGUUAUUAAUGUGUCGUUUUGUCCUUCCUCAUCGACAUCUUUACUCGAGAAAGAAAGAAAUAGAAAGAGAGAAAGAGAGAGUACCAAAGAUCAUAAUUCCAAUGAGACGGUGUAACGCGUUAAUAUACCGAGACUCUUCGCCUCCUUCUUUUCGGCCGAGUCUCUUUACCCCACAUUUUCUUUGGUACCUUUCAUUCCCUAUCCUUUCUCACUCUUCUUUCUCUUCUUCCCCAUCGACCGAGAAACAGGUUCCUCUUUAUUCGGCCCGCUUAUUAUGCAACUUAUUGUUUUCGCCGAGACACAAGGGUCUCUCCGAGUGGUCCUGAAUCAGGCGAAAAAAAAACGAGUCUUCGAGUGACUCGUUCUACGGCUUUGCGUUCUCAUACUUUCAUUUCUCAUAACGAAUUAUCAUAGCGUUAGAUUUUUGUCAUUUCGACGGACCGCUCUUUUUUAACCGGUAGAUGACAUUGUGAUAUUUGGAUUAGAAAGGAUCCUUUACGAAGGAUAUAUAGAGGAGUAGAUAAAAGAUUUUUUAUUGUAUAGACUUAAAGAUCAUAUUCCAUGCAAGAUGUCUCUUUUGAAAUUUUUUACUUUUCUCAAAUGCUUCUCCGACAAUAUUCCCAUGGAUCGAUUAAGAUGAUAAAUGUGACAUUUCUUUUUUCUGUUUUUUUUUUUUUUUUCUUUUUUUAACAACCAAUUAUCUAAUGAUCGUAUAAGAUUCCUUGAUUCAUUGCUGGAAUGAUGCAACGCCAAUGGACGGCAGAUGUCCAGAAGCAAACGAAAAAGAUUUUCUUUUUCUUUUUUACUUUUUUUUUCUUUUUUUUUUUUUUUUUUAGCAAGAACUCCCGUGGACCCGUCCAGGUGUCCAUUGUGGGUCCGAGCUACGAUUCUCAACCCUUAAUCCUUAACCCUUUGGCCGCACGCAUCCGCCUGCAGACGCCCAUUUACCGAUUCUGAAACAAUACCGACCGGACCGCACCCCGGAUGCGCACGUUUAUUAAGUAAUGUCCCCCUUUGCUUUUCGUUUCGCAGCUGGCCGAGCAAAAAAAGCACUGUUGCUUUUGUCUAUCGUUUCUCGCGGUCCAACGAUGCUUUCCUAACGAUUUCUAAUUCAAUCGUUAGGAAAGUCGUAAGAUCGAAUGUCCGCGACAUCGAACGUUGAGAUUUUUCUGUUACCUAAUUAAAAGGCCGAACGAUUUUUAUUGUCUUUCUAAGAUAUCGACAAAUAUGUUUCCAGGCACACGUCACGACAAUUCAUUCAAUAAUAUAAUAAAAUUAUUUUAUUUUAAAUAUCAUAUAGUCGGUGAUCUUUUCUGUGUGAAUGUUUAAAAAAUUUUUAUAUAUUAUAACAAGAAAUUGGCUCAAUUAAAUUUAAUAUACUUAUGAUUGAAUAGAAUCAGACGGAUUGAUGAAAAACAUUUUACAAUCAUGAUUAUGAUUCUAUAUAUUUAAUAUUACAUUGUAACGAUAAAUUACUCGUAAUAUCAGAUAGCUAAGAUAAACUUCAAAAAACUUAUUGAUUUUAAAAAUCAUAAAAAUGAAGUGAGUGUAAUUAUUGUGUAUAGAAAAAAAUCAAUUAAUACAAACGUAACAAUUAUACGUGAAAAUGAAAGACUCAUAAUAAUCGUCAUUAUUUCUAUUGAUUUAAUAUAAUUGAUCUUCGUUUUUUCGUUGACAUCAUCAUCAUCUCCUAUUAUUUAUAUCUUCAAGUAUGGUGCACUAUAUGAAAAUUAUUUUGUAAAAUCGAUUUCUCGAAUUACCGAUAAUAUUUAAGCAACGUACGUCGUACGAUUCAAAGACGAGUCACAAGGGGUUAAGCGAAACCUGACCAGAUCCGUGGCUCACCCCACUACGUGGCCGGCAAAAGGGUGGCCCUUGGCACUAGAACCCGUCCUUCGUUCAUGCAAAAUGCAAGAGGCCAGUUUCGAAACGGCCGGCCAUCAAAUAUCCACGCUGUUACUAUUUCCGAAUAAAAAUUCUUUCGCGAUGUGUCCGAAUGAUUUCUGUUUGUCACGUUAAAUUUGAUAUAAUGUUUUUUCCGAGAAAUUUCCGUUCGAAGUGACGAUACGGGAAAAAUAUUGAUCGUGAUCGAUGUGACAGAAUCACGAAUGAUGUUACAAUGUUUAGAUCGAAAAAUCAUAAAAACUAAUUGAAAUCGAAAGUGUCAUUAAAAAUUAAAAGGAGAGAUGAUAGUGUAGCCGGAUUGACUUGUUUUCAAAAUGUUAAGCUUUUUCAGAGUGACAAUUGAAAAUACGAUUGUGGAAUUGCAUGUUUUUAGAUUAUUAUACAUGUAGUAUUUGAUUAUAAAUUUUUGUGAUAGUAUAGUGAAAGAUAGACGAAAAAAGAAAUGUUAUAAUGAUAUCUAAUAUCGAGUAAAUAUAAUAUUAUAACAGUUGGUAGAGCGAACAAAUAUGUAUAAGUUGAAAUUCAUUUCGAAGAUUAUAAUUUUGGGAAAUUUAAUCAUUUUUCAUCAUUUUGAUUUAAUUCCAUUAACGACAGAUUUUUCUCAACGCAUCGCCUUGAAAGGUUGACCUUAAUCUCAGGAGGAUCAAUUAGUCACUGAUUAAUCCUCGCGCAGCAUUCUCUCGUCCGUUUCCUCUUCGAUUGUCUGUGAAAUUAUCGCACGUAAUUCAGUUCUCGUAAUGGUCUGGACGGGUUUCCACUCCGUCAACUUUUAUAAAGUUGCCGACUUCUCUCGUUUGUGCGUAAUUACUAUUAAUUAAGUAAAGAUACAAUUAAAAUCUUUUCAACUCAAUUCGUACGAUCGAACGAUGUAUUAUUAUAAUCAUUAUUAUUAUUAUUUUUUUUUGUUCUUUUCUUUUUCUUAUUUUUUUUUUCAAAUUGAUUCAGCGUAAAGCUUUAUCACAUAAUUAAUAAUUACUUAAUUAUCAAUAUAAAAAUGUAUCCAUUAAGACGCAUUGGAAAUCAGAUACGAAUAUUUCAAGAAUUGUAAUAAAAAUGUGUAAAAUAAGAGGAGGGGGUGAACUUAGCGAAAGAGGGUGUGGUUGCUUAAAAUGUCGGACCUUAGAGUACGUGCGACCAUAUUCCGCUUGCCUGCUCCCUUCGUAAAGUUGAUGGUGGAGGAGGUAAACCCCACCCACCCCUUUGUAUGUAGAAGGUACGGAGCCAUUGAUUUUGAAUAUGUAAUCCGAGGCAUUUUAUUAUUCCAUCGUACUUUGAUCGGGGUAGGGGUUUGGUGUUCCUCCGCCGCAUCGGACGGGGGGUGGUUCGAUCACCAUACUACCGCCAUCGACCUUCGUUUCUCGUCCGUGAACAGAGAGUGGGGUGAGCAAGCGAGCAAGCAAGCGGGAAAGAGAAAGAUAGAUAGAUAGAUAGAUAGAUAGAUAGAUAGAGAGAGAGAGAAAGAGAGAGAGAGAGAAAGAGAGAGAGAAAAAGAGAAAAAGAGAGAGGGAGAGAGAGAACAGAGUUGAUUCUCCUCGGCAACUACCACCGUCGGAACCGACGCCACCACUACCACCACCACUACCACCCUCCAGUUCUUGACGCGUGAUUGAAUAUUUUUUCGCUGUGCGCGAUUGGUUCGUCGUAGUCGUGGCAGGCAGAACGAACGAGUCUAGAGGGGUAGUACAGCGUGACGGAGGAGAAGAAGG